rnacentral:rRNA from 1 species
CCUACGGGAGGCAGCAGUAGGGAAUCUUCCACAAUGGACGAAAGUCUGAUGGAGCAACGCCGCGUGAGUGAAGAAGGGUUUCGGCUCGUAAAGCUCUGUUGGUAGUGAAGAAAGAUAGAGGUAGUAACUGGCCUUUAUUUGACGGUAAUUACUUAGAAAGUCACGGCUAACUACGUGCCAGCAGCCGCGGUAAUACGUAGGUGGCAAGCGUUGUCCGGAUUUAUUGGGCGUAAAGCGAGUGCAGGCGGUUCAAUAAGUCUGAUGUGAAAGCCUUCGGCUCAACCGGAGAAUUGCAUCAGAAACUGUUGAACUUGAGUGCAGAAGAGGAGAGUGGAACUCCAUGUGUAGCGGUGGAAUGCGUAGAUAUAUGGAAGAACCCCGAUUGCGAAGGCAGCAUACCGGUGCACAACUGACGCUCAGGCACGAAAGCGUGGGUAUCGAACAGGAUUAGAUACCCUGGUAGUC